AUUGAACGCUGGCGGCAGGCCUAACACAUGCAAGUCGAGCGGAUGAAGGGAGCUUGCGCCUGGAUUCAGCGGCGGACGGGUGAGUAAGGCAUAGGAAUCUGCCUGGCAGUGGGGGAUAACGUACGGAAACGGGAGCUAAUACAGCAUACGUCCAGAGGGUGAAAGGGAGGGAUCUUUGGACCACACGCUAUCAGAUGAGCCUAGGACGGAUUAGCUAGUUGGUGGGGUAAAGGCCUACCAAGGCGACGAUCCGUAACUGGGCUGAGAGGAUGAUCAGCCACACUGGAACUGAGACACGGUCCAGACUCCUACGGGAGGCAGCAGUGGGGAAUCUUGGACAAUGGGCGAAAGCCUGACGCAGCCAUGCCGCGUGUGUGAAGAAGGUCUUCGGAUUGUAAAGCACUUUAAGUUGGGAGGAAGGGCAGUAAGUGAAUCCCUGGCUGUUUUGACGUUACCAACAGAAUAAGCACCGGCUAACUUCGUG
rnacentral:rRNA from 1 species